UUGACUGCCUCCUUCUCUGCCACCCUGUAGAGGACUGAAGCAGAGGGUGCUGUUUCAACGCCACCACCAGGAGAGAGGCAGAGGGGCUGUGCUGUGCUAGAGUCCUCAGGGAGGGAGUGACCUCGACCCUGGCUGUGCUGCAAGCUGACUCCAGCCUUGGGGUCAGCAGCAGCAGGGUACCCGACCAUGCCAGAGGGGGCAUAGCUCGGUUUCCCACACCUCACUUUUCACAGCCUCCAAGGGCAGCAGUGCACGUGGAGGAGACGUCUCCCAUGAGGCCAAGGCCUCUAGUGCUCACCGAUGCCCUCUGCGAAGUUGGGGUAGAACUCGUCAGUGAAGAGGGGCCCGGGCAGCUCACGGAAGUAUAGCUUCAGCGUGCCUGCAAUGGCGUUCACGUCCAUCUCGCUCAUCAUCACCGACACGUCCUCGUUAUGUGGAAAGAGCACGGAAAUGCUGCGGCCUCCUUGAGGAUCCCGAUAAAUGAAGAAAAGACACAGAGAAGGAUGUGACAUGCCUGGGCCAUGGAGCGCUCUGAGGUCUCAUCGCGGACACCACUGCCCACACCUCCAUCCCGUCCUGCGCAGGCCGACACUCACUGACGUUGAAGGCUGCCUUCAGUGCCUGGAUGUCUGCGGCCACUCCGGACACGCGGUAGAUGCCCACCUCCUCCAUGCCUCGGCGCUCGAUCUCCACACACUGGCGCGUGAUGUAGGGCACCUUGGACCUCUCUCUCUUGCGGGAGGAGGGAAUGUUCUCAGUGUCCCAACAGUCCUGCUUGGGCCAUAACACAGGAGACCUGCUCCCUAUCUGCACACCCGGAGGCGGGGUGAGGACGGUGACGAAGGUACCCAGGUCUGGGGCUGCACACAGGGCCUUCUGCAUGCCUGUCCUCCCUCUGCAAGCUCUGUCCUCAUUGCAUGUACUUUCUCAGGAACCUUUCAAGCGGCCAGAACCCCUGUGAAUCACACAUGAUCUUUGCGGGAAGGUCAGGAGGCCUGUCUAAGUCAAGUCAGCACAGGAAGGGCAUCUGACAGAUUCCAGGCCUGAGGUUAGCAGCCUGUGCCCCCAGCUGGGAGAUCAGACCCAGUAUUGGUCCUGCCACCUAUGUGCUGUGUGAGAGGAGAAUCCCUGACCCCUGCCCUAGGCCUAGGCCUUAACAAACAUCUGACGAAUGAAUGAAGGGUUGCCUCAGCACCAGUGCUCCAAGUCCUGUGAUGCUAAGUGCUUUUCUCCUCUGAGUCUUAGCAAUGGACAAUUCCAAUACCACCACACAGGACACUAGAGUAAGAAUACUUCAAAGUUAGUGCUGUGCUGAGGCCUUAACUUUAGUUCUGUUUUGCAACUGGAUUUAGGAGCACAUCAAAGCCACUUCUCAAGCCACCCUCAUUAGCAGGGCUUAUUUGGAGGAGCUGCUGAUGGAGUCCUCGCUGCUCAUGCCCAGAGCCCUCCCAGAGUGCUAUGCAAGUGGCUGCCAUGCAGUUGGGGGUGGGACAUGGUGUUUAGACACAGAUAGGAGUCCAGGGUAUGACUGAUGGAGGCCCCGGCCCACGUGACCAGCAAGGUCAGGGGCCCAGCCGGAUUCCAUCCUGGGGAAGCAAAUGAAUUCUCAGAGGAAGUGGUCUGUGUCUGCAUGAACUGCUCUCAAACCCACAAACAGGCUUCUCUUGCCAACUGACCCAUGACAAAGGGUUCAAGAUUGUUUGAAAUAAAAAAAAAGGGAGCAGGGAGGCAGUAGGUCCUGCAAAAGUAAAUUGUUUAUUUUACAAUAAGAAAGUGAUUACAUAUUUCAUUUUUUUUACAAUGGUCAAAAAUUAGAAGUGAUUGUGAAGAUGAUGUCUACCUGCCUUGCUGAUGAGUAGGAUGUGAUUUGGCUCUUUAGGAAACUGAAUUUGCAGAACUUAAGAAUAUUGAUUUAUAAAGGGCAUGGCCAUUGACCCAGUCCAUCUUAUGCAAACCUGGAUUCCAUAAAUAAUAUUUAAAAAUGAAAGUAUUGGGGUGGAGGUUGCAGUGAGCGGAGAUCGCGCCACUACACUGCAGCCUGGUCGACAGAGUGAGACUCUGUCUCAAAACGAAAAAAGAAAAAGAAGAAGCCAUUCCCAACGUUGCUCAUCAAAUUAUGACCAUAAAUUUCCAGGAUCAGACUAACGGCUAAAGAGACUGAUCCAUCAACACCAAGCAGAGAAUAAAGCAGAUUUCUUUUUUUUUUUUCUGUUUUGGAGAGCCUCUAGGAACUUGAAAAA